CGACGCCGCCUCCCCGCGGCGCCCUCCGCCCCAACUCACGGCCCUUGCGGUGCCGGCUCGGGGCCCUCGACCCCGAAGCGCGGCGCCACUCGGCGCCGACGUGCGGCCCUCGGGAGGCCGCCUCGCCACGACGCCCGGCCCUUGGCCUUCCCCGCUCCGCCGUGACGCGUGACACCUGGGGCGCCGGCUCGGGGCCGCGCGCCGGUCCGCCCCAAGGCCGACCCGCCCCAUCUCCCGACGGCCCGGCGCCAGCCGCCUCUCCUCGCCCUCCCCAUCUCCCGCCGGCAUGGAUCUAGAGGAGGAGGAGCCCCCGGCGCGGCCCCAGAUCGAUAGAAGGUGGCGUUUUCUCUCUGGCUCGGCGUGGAUCGAGUCCACGGGCUUCUUCCCCGACGGCUCGUGCUCGGCUUCCAGCGGCGCGGCGGGCUUCCCCCACUGGCGGCGCCGCAGUUCAAUUCCAGGCGGCUAGCUCGAUGGCGCGGACCCAGGAUGUCCGGCUGCCCGCGAGCUCCCCAUGCGGCGGCGCAGACUGUUCUUCCUUGAGCAGAAGGUCGGCUCGAUGCGACUCUCCUUCCCUGCAGCGGUUUCUUCCUCCCCGGCAGCACAGCUCCUCAGCUUCUGCGCCUACCUCCAUCCGCUUCUCAGGGAUAUCAGCCUGGACUGAUGCGGACAGCAACGCCUGCGACUGGCACGGCGUGAUCUACUCACUGCUGCAGGGCUCCGUCAUAUCACUAUGCUUAGUGCAAGCAAUAAGGAGAGCAAGGAAAACAAUCCUCGGUCCUGCACCUCUGGAAGAAAUGGCCAGGAAUGCUUUAUUCUUUACAGUUGGACUAUUGGGAAUUUGGCGCAGGCAGCAACACUUGGGGGGUUGAUGCCGUCAGCCGCCGGCAACAAAGCAAGCAAGGUUGCCAGCUCGACUCGCGACUCGAGCGCGAGGCCGCCGACCGGGACGAGCUGCUCACCGUGCUUCAGUACAAGAUUAUUGUUAGGAUCCAUACUACGAGCCAGUCUUCCCUGACACAGGCCUACAAAUCCAUACAUUUUUUUGGUGGUAUGGACAGACCAAAGUUGUAUAUGCUUACUACCUAAUGGCACAUCGAACAAUGGAAGAGAAAAUAUAUAAGCAGCAGGUUAACAUGAACAUGAAGCCCGUCUCCAAAGUAUCAUGCCUGGACAACUUACUGAUUUGGCAGUACCUUACAUCCUGUGUUGCAAUUUUGAUAUGAUAGCACAUUCCUGUUUAACCAGUGAUACAAGUAUUAUUCAGGAACAAAAGUUUUCUUUUACUUUGUGUUAGGUUGUGGUACACAUUAUGAUUAAUUAGUGACAGUAUCUUGCUUUUUGUUUCGCAGGUAACCAAAGGAGGUUAUCUUGAGGUUGGGGUACAGACAUGUGGUGGCGGAUUGUGUGGUUCGACCGCGAUUUUACUAUAGCUGGUAGGGUGAUUAUAUGGGAGAAGAGGGAUGGCGGGGUCUCUUAUGCACAUAAUGAGCAACGGCGCUAUACGGGCAUAGAUCCUACAGGAUGAAGGUGUGGUCUGUUGCAGUAACACUAAGAAAUUUAUAUCCACCUGUUUACAUUAUGUACAGGACUCUCCUCAGAAGGUCUCAAAAUCAGAGUCAUCUUAUUCCAGUGCUAACUGCAUCUAUCAAGAAUGAAAUGCAGAAAAUAGUGGGAGAAAAUGGCCCAAAGGAGUCAUCGGAGAAUAAGAGCACGAAACACCAUCCAUUACUAUUGCAGUUGAUUACUAAAGAGGCUAGGGUUUGAUCGAGUCCGUAGCAUGUCCACUGGCGCACGAAGUUCGUGCUUGUGUUCACGUCCAGUGUCGAGUAGGAUGGUGCAUGUGUGUGCCCGUGCCUGCAGGUCGAGUCAGGGUCAGGACACCGGUGUGGCCACGUUCCAAGUUGUGUUUAGCAUGUUUAGCGUGUGCACGUGCUGGCAUGUUAGUUACGAAGGUGCAGGGAUGGCUUAGAGGUGGCAGUUGGUGGCAGUAGCAGAGGAGCACGACGAGCCACGGGAUCAGCAUGGAAGACCGGUUCUCGCGAUAGUUGUGCGGGCGCUACCUCGCAGAGAGGCUACAUAUGGCGAUGUAAUCCUUGUGUAAGGUUGUUCAGUCCUUUCGAAGUUGAAUAGAAGCCAACAUACAGGCCGCCGAGCGGUCGGGCGUUCAUUGCCAAAACUUGUCUCUCCUGUUUAUUGUCCUCCAUGCGUCUUCGCGUGAGCGUAAGUGAUUAUAUGAAGCAUAUGUGAAAAUAAUCUCAUAAAAGAUUAUCAUAAAA